rnacentral:lncRNA from 1 species
UGUAAAUGCAGCUGAUGAUCAUGGGAUCUGUUUCUAGUGGCGAGGUAGAAUUUUGGUGUGCGCCUGAAUUUCGGUAGUACGUAGAGGUGGUGUUGGUAGCUUUUGGCCUGGGGCUAUCUGUAGUGUUCAACGUUAUUCUGCACCUUUUGUUUAAUUUUAGACCUGCUAUGGUACUGUAAUUACAUGAGAUUGUGGUGUCACGUAUCUCAGAUAAUAUAAGAUUGCUUACUGUUGAUGAAAACAUGAAAUAGCUUAAAUGUAGGCGAUAUGUAGAACUGACAGGAUUUUACUAGAGAUAUAACAUUUUGUAGUCGGCAUCGAUUGCAGUACCCGGUUCAUCAUCGCACGUCAAAGGACAAUGA